rnacentral:rRNA from 1 species
AUUGAACGCUGGCGGAAUGCUUUACACAUGCAAGUCGAACGGCAGCACGAGGGCAACCUUGGUGGCGAGUGGCGAACGGGUGAGUAAUACAUCGGAACGUGCCCAGUCGUGGGGGAUAACUACGCGAAAGCGUAGCUAAUACCGCAUACGAACUCUGGUUGAAAGCGGGGGAUCGCAAGACCUCGCGCGAUUGGAGCGGCCGAUGGCAGGUUAGGUAGUUGGUGGGGUAAAGGCUCACCAAGCCGACGAUCUGUAGCUGGUCUGAGAGGACGCACAGCCACACUGGGACUGAGACACGGCCCAGACUCCUACGGGAGGCAGCAGUGGGGAAUUUUGGACAAUGGGCGCAAGCCUGAUCCAGCCAUUCCGCGUGCAGGAUGAAGGCCCUCGGGUUGUAAACUGCUUUUGUACGGAACGAAAAGGCUCUGGUUAAUACCCGGAGCUCAUGACGGUACCGUAAGAAUAAGCACCGGCUAACUACGUGCCAGCAGCCGCGGUAACAC